rnacentral:sRNA from 1 species
CGCUUUAAGUGUGUGACGUGCACUAAGCUCUUAUAUAAGAGCACUGAAGCAAAAGUUCUUUCAAGCGAAAUGCGUUAUCUGAACAGCUAUUGAAGGUUCCGGUCUCAAAUUGAUAGCACCGGUGCCUAUGCCUGUACCCAAGCACAGCUGGCGCUUAGGCAUAUGCAAAAAGAGAACGAGAGAGCGAGAGAUUCACAGCAAGACUAGCAUUUGUAUUACCUGGAUGCACUGGGCUAAGGAAGCCAUGGAUAAGGCCUACCGAUUGACGCUAGUCUAUAAUAUAUGACCUUAGCCCGCUUUUUAUAUUGGCCAAUUUGUAGGAGCUAAUCGGGUGCGACCAGCCGCGUGAUUUAUCGGCCAAACAAUUGGUAAUCAGCAAAAAUGCGAAUUCAAUGCGAUCGUCAAUGGCAACGUCAUCAUAUUUCGACUCACUAUCAGCAGCAGCAGCGGCAGCAGCGCAGUCGCGCCGUAAGUACGAUAAGGCAGGGACAGGUAAGUAGACAGAGAACCUAUCUAUGCCUAUACCGUAGCACACUAUUACGUAUAACCAACUAAUGUCCAUUUUUCUGUAAUACCAAUGUGAUAUAUGUGUCAAUGCACUUGAAAUUUUGUCAUUUGUCAAUCCCCCUCAACUCAAAGAGCCUUCACUCGCGUAUCAUGCAGCAGGCUAAUGAUUCCACUGUUCCAAAAAGUACAAUGAGAAAAAUAAAAUGAGGGCAACGAUGUUCCGGGUCGAAACCUUCAGACCCACCAGCAGCACACUCCAUGCCCUACCCUCAGACAGUGAAUUCAUUUGUAUUCAACUGGAUAUUUAGUUUUAUAUUCACGCGCUCCAUUUUCGAACUACCAUUGAAACUCUCUCAGCUGUUUGCCCAAUGAAUAUUUCAUUUAUCUGUCGAUAAUUUAUUCGAUAUGAAAUUCAA